UACGUAGGGUGCACGCGUUGUCCGGAAUUAUUGGGCGUAAAGAGCUCGUAGGCGGUUUGUUGCGUCGGCUGUGAAAACCCGGGGCUCAACCCCGGGCCUGCAGCCGAUACGGGCAGACUAGAGUUCGGCAGGGGAGACUGGAAUUCCUGGUGUAGCGGUGAAAUGCGCAGAUAUCAGGAGGAACACCGGUGGCGAAGGCGGGUCUCUGGGCCGAUACUGACGCUGAGGAGCGAAAGCGUGGGGAGCGAACAGG
rnacentral:rRNA from 1 species